rnacentral:tRNA from 1 species
GCCCCCGUAGCUCAGUGGAUAGAGCGCCUCCGUCCUAAGGAGGGCGUCGGGAGUUCGAUUCUCUCCGGGGGUACCA